CUUACUGUGGGUGUAUCUAAAACCAGUCCUAGCUGGGCCAGCCCAUUGCCUGCAGUUCCUGGAUAAGCUUCGGGCUAUGUCUGAUGUGGAAAGAACACCAAUUAAAAUUAAGAGGCUACCCGUACCCAACCCCUAGCGACUUAUCUCUCCUCCUCCUGGACCACAGAGAAGGGAGCCCAAAGCACUAUUCAUCUCUGGAGCACUCUGCAUUAGAAUUCACUGCUCCUUUGUAGUAUACAUAACCUUUACCUCACUCGGCUUCUGGGGAAAAUGCCUUGCCACUUGUGUUUCUUUAGUCCUUGAACAACACUCAAAGAGCCUGGAAUCGCUAGAUCCACAUGGAGAUUUCCAGUGAGUUUUUCCUUUUCCUGAGAAUUCACUGUGGGAAGACCCUAAAAGGGCCCCUGCUCAUGAAAUAAUGCUACUCUCACUCAGGACAGGUCUCUCCAUUCAGACACCAUGAUGAAGAUGAAGGAGGACUGCAGAGACACAGAAGCUCUGAAACGCUGGCGAAGGCGUAUCUGGUAAAUGAGUGCUGUCCAGAUGGGAAAGAGCUGUGAUAACACAACAGAAAGACAAGUGGCCCACUUAAAAUGGAGAAAACUCAGAAUCAAAAAUAUAUAUUCACCAGUGACCACAUAAAAGCACAUUGGGGAAAUGUAAAUUAAAACCAAGUGGAAAGGUGAGAAAUACACUAAAAGAGAAAGAUACACUUCUACAGUUUUGUUCCCUAGCAUUUUCUUUCUUUCUUUUUUUUUUUUAUUAUUAUUAUUAACUUGAGUAUUUCUUAUUUACAUUACGAAUGUUAUUCCCUUUCCCGGUUUCCGGGCAAACAUCCCCCUAGCCCCUCCCCCUCCCCCUCUAUGUGGGUGCUCCCCUCCCCAUCCUCCCCCCAUUACCGCCCUCCCCCCAACAAUUACGUUCACUCGGGGUUCAGUCUUGGCAGGACCAAGGGCUUCCCCUUCCACUGGUGCCCUUACUAGGCUACCUAUGAGGUCAGAGUCCAGGGUCAGUCCAUGUAUAGUCUUUGGGUAGUGGCUUAGUCCCUGGAAGCUCUGGUUGGUUGGCAAUGUUGUUCAUAUGGGGUCUCAAGCCCCUUCAAGCUCUUUCAGUCCUUUCUCUGAUUCCUUCAACGGGGAUCCUGUUCUCAGUUCAGUGGUUUGCUGUCCCUAGCAUUAUCUGAACCUAGAUUAUUCUACUCUAGAUCCCCAGGCUUUUCUAGCUGAGGGUUCCAGACUGAAUAUUGCUUUCUUCUCUCACAUUCACAGUUAAGAACAGUAUAUCUAAAACACAUCUGAAUCAAACUGUCAUUUGUCUAGUUUCUAGAAUAAAGGAUUCUUGGUUCAAAGUAAACAAAACCUUACGACCUCUCCCUGGAUUUCGAAGAG